rnacentral:rRNA from 1 species
ACGGGAGGCAGCAGUGAGGAAUAUUGGUCAAUGGUCGGAAGACUGAACCAGCCAAGUCGCGUGCAGGAAGACGGUCCUAUGUAUUGUAAACUUCUUUAGACGCAGAGAAAUAAGGGGCUCGAGAGCCCUGAUGCUAGUAUGCGUAGAAUAAGGAUCGGCUAACUCCGUGCCAGCAGCCGCGGUAAUACGGAGGAUCCGAGCGUUAUCCGGAUUUAUUGGGUUUAAAGGGAGCGUAGGCGGAAGGUCAAGUCAGCUGUGAAAUGUAGUCGCUCAACGUCUGCACUGCAGUUGAAACUGGCCUCCUUGAGUGCGUAAGAGGCAGGCGGAAUUCGUCGUGUAGCGGUGAAAUGCUUAGAUAUGGCGAAGAACUCCGAUUGCGAAGGCAGCUUGCUGGGCCGCAACUGACGCUGAAGCUCGAAGGUGCGGGUAUCGAACAGGAUUAGAUACCCUGGUA